CCUAGGGAAGGAGGACAGACAAGUCCAAGGCAGCUAAAUACAUUUAAAAUGAGUGUAAAUCUGGGAAAAUUCUUCCCUAAACUGAAGUUCCAGGAAUAAAGACCUCAGAGCUUCUGGACUGAAGGUGUUCACUUCCAGAACAAGGCAGAGGAAGACUUUCUAACCAGGCAGUCCUCCUCUGACUAGUUUCCUUGAAGCUAGAAAGCUAGAAAGUUAGUUCAUGUUCAAUUUAAAUAUAUUUAAUGCAAUAAUGAAUGCGGAACAGCAGAGAAAACCAAGGCGGGAAACGUGUCCUCCUCCGGGACCCUAUGACUCAGCAGGGCGGGCGCUUUCCUUCUCUGGGGGAGGCGGGAGCGGGUGGGGGCAGAAGUCGUGCAAGGAGACAAGGCAGAUUGAUGCUUGAAGAAAAGUGCAGGCUGGGUGUCGGGUCCAGAAGACCCCAAAACAGCCCACCUACAGGGUCCCACUCAAGGCACCCCAGAUGCUCUUCACCUUUAUGCUUGAGGAGCAGUGGGGCACGAAGAAAGGGGCGUUUUCUCCACAGACUCUCCCGGGGAGCUCACGCUGACUCUUCCCUCCGGAUCUGGCUUUGGGGCUGCGCACCGACACGGCACACCUUCCGCAGCACCCACUGAGGGGAAGCAGAGCCCCCAGGAAAGCAGGGGCCUGGGACGGGGGCUUGUCACAAAGUCUAUGUGAACUUGAGACCGUUGUCAGCAAGGCCGACCACCACCUUCCUCUGACAUCCAAGCUGCAGGCACCUCGAGUCCAGGGUUUCGUCCAGACUCAAAGGAGGCGUUUUACUCCCCUCGUUCCCACGUCAGAAUUUCCUAACAGUUUAAAACGUUGUUCAGGAAUUACCACAAAUGCCACCAACCGAAUAUAACUCGUCAACAACACUACUGCCUCCUUUAAGUGCCACCAGCCUUCGAGCUUAACCAGCAGUGGCAUAAGCUUUUUUCUUGCAAGCGUGCAAGCUGGGAAACCGCUCUGGAAGCCACUCCGGCACUGUCCUGUAGAGGAGAACCUGCGCACCCUCUCGGAACCAGAAACUCUACUCCGAGGUGUACACUCAGAGAAACCCCUGCACACACAUGUGAGUGUUCGUAACAGCAGCGUCUGUAAGAGCAAAAAGGAGAAAAUACCCACUGGUAAGACUACAGGUAAAUAAACUACAGGUAAACUGUGACAUAUUCGCACACGGACACCAAAUGCCAGUCAACAGAUCACCCGAGAUCAGGCACUGCCAACGGGGAUGAUUCCAGGGGUGAACACCGGUCAGGGAGACGGGAGGAAUCGUACAUGUGGCAAAGGCCUGUGACCCUCCAAAAGGCCACAGCACAUAAACGGACUUAAGUCUGUGCUUUUAUUUUUUUAAUUUUUAUUUACUCAUUAUUUUUUACUGUCUUUGUCUUUUUCUUUUUAAUGGAGGCACUGGGGAUUGAACCCAGGACCUCAUGCAUGCUACGCACGAGCCCUACCACUCAGUUGUGCCCUCCCCCACUGUCUGUGCUUUUAAAAUUUCAUGGGGGGAAGAGGGAAAUGAUUAAGAUAAAAACGUCUAAAAAGGAUCCUUAGGGGAGUGAUAACAAAAAAGGCUGAGACUCAAUGAGCUAGGUGAACAUCAGGAAUGUGACAGAGUGAAAACAGCUACAGAAGACAGAGAGGGGACGAUUCACAUAAAGUUCCAAACACAAAACGCACGUAUCGUCUAGAAAUAGAGACAUGCACUUAAACUGUGACAAGUCAGAACUGAGUGUUCGCCUGUGGAGUAGGCAGGAGCGCGUGGAGAGCCAGGAGGGACUUACCAGGAGGCUCGCACGCCGGCAGGGUUCCUUCCCUGGGCGGGGAUGGCAAACGCACAGGUGUUUGCUCCACCACCCCCAUCCCUUAGUCGUUCACGUGUCUUUUGCUAGCAUGAAACGUUUCAUAAUUAGAACGACUGAAAAACACCACGUAUCAACUUACUAGCAGUAAAACCUUAGUGGUUUAACGUACACUGCACAAACAGGCUUUCCACUGAUCGUCAUCCAAUCAAUGUUAAAUAACGGCAUUUGACCUUUGCUGUUAAAAACAACAUUGGGGAGCUUAAUUUUCUUUUUUUUUUUGAGGGAAGAUUACACAGAAACACUGGAAAGCGCAUACCCAGCCGCCCUGCUGGACGACGUACUCCGCUGCGUAGUCCUCCAGGUACGUCACACCGAACUGCAGCAACGCACUCAGAGGCUCCUGGCCACGUCUCGUCAACUCCAAAAGCAUUUGUCGCAGCAGAAUCAGAGGCACCAAAAUCUUCAACGCAAAGACGAGAGAGUAAAAAACAAACUGAAAUUCUUACAAUUGAUUUUGUAUGUUCAACUACUAGAAACUACACUCUGGUGAAUCGUUACAGAAUUUCAUUUUUACAAUAAAUAAAUAAAAGGAAGCAAACAGCGACCCCUACUCGAGUUUUAGGAGUACUGUAUGUUUCACAUUUUAUCCCACCAGGCAGUAGCAAUAAUGUCACAAAAACUGCUGAGCUCGCGAGCGCACAUGCCCGUGUGGGUGUGUGUGAGCAGCACACACAGCAAAUCCACUGACGCUCUGUAACAGCAAGAAUGCAAACCGCCCAACACGGACUGCUAAACGAAUGUGGUAAUCCAGGAACGUGUAGUUGUUAAAAAGAAUCCGACUGUUCACUGCCCAACUGCCAAGAUUUAUUUUCAGCGAAAAAAGUAAUAUAAAGAAGAGUGUGUACAGUAACAGUCCUGGUUGUGUGAACAAAACCAAACCUCUACCCACACACGCCUCUGUGACCCUGCAGGGCCCCGGAACACACGCGGGCGACAGCGCUGACCUAGGAGGAGGAAAGCCAGAAAAGCCUUCCAGGUCACCACCUGCACGCAACCUCUCCUGCCUGGAACACCAGGGUCCCGCGUGACUGGAAAAGGAAUGCAAAGGAAAUGAAACCAAUCUCCGUUCUGCUACCAGCCGCCAGGGCCCCGCUGUGGGUCACCGCACACUCUGCAGGAGGACAGACAGCAGGCCACAAGUCCAUACCCUCACUAGUAUUCUCUGGUUUUUUAAGUAAAAGCAGCCCUGAGGGGUUUCAAAGUCUGGGGGAAGAAAAAGCAACACACACCCGUCUUGAAAUUCUACCAGUCCUCCAGCCCGAAGAGCGGUAACAAGCCCUUCCCAGCACCAACAGAGGGGCGCAGGGCCUUAAAGAAGAAUGAGCCACGCUCCCCCAGCAGAAGCCCCGCGUCACCGCUGGGGACAGAGCACACACGGUGCUCGCCAGCCCGGGCUCUGUCCCAGCAGGAGCA